rnacentral:tRNA from 1 species
GGGUUCUUGGUCGAGUGGUUAAGACGUUGGCUUCAGGUGCUAAUACAUUUUUAAUGUGCGCGAGAUCGAAACUCGCAGGAUCCA